rnacentral:misc_RNA from 1 species
GUUCAUUUAGCAGUUCAAAGGCGAAAUCAAAACAAAAAGAAACCUUCUAUGGAUUUAAGAAAUGAAGUGAAAUGACAUGAGAAUGUUAUAAAAAGCCAUAGCAACAAGUCUCACCUCAAUAUUUAUACAUCCUACAACAAACUACAGUGAAAUCUAUAACAAAUUCCACAAAUUCCACAAAUAUAAAGAGAUAUUAACAAAAUCAUAUUUCCCUAUGAUCCAUUCUAUUAAUGAAAAUACAAAAAGGAAUAUAACAUACAAAAUCUCCUCUAACAACUGAUCACAGCAGCCAAACCACCCGGAGCGUUCCUUGACAUUAAUCCGCAUCUGAUAAUCCAUUACUCCUUAAUUUGGAGUUGGCAAUGCUAUACGACAUCUCAUACAAUUCCAAG